rnacentral:sRNA from 1 species
GUAUCCCUAUGGCAGAUGCCGCGUUCAACAGGGC